rnacentral:rRNA from 1 species
GGCGAACGCUGGCGGCGGGCCUAACACAUGCAAGUCGAACGGAAGGACCCUAAGUGUUUGCUCUUACGGGUGGCGAGUGGCGGACGGGUGAGGAAUACAUCGGGAUCUACUCUUUCGUAGGGGAUAACGUAGGGAAACUUACGCUAAUACCGCAUACGACCUACGGGUGAAGGCAGGGGAUCUUCGGACCUUGCGCGUUUGAAUGAGCCGAUGUCGGAUUAGCUAGUUGGCGGGGUACAGGCCCACCAAGGCGACGAUCCGUAGCUGGUCUGAGAGGGUGAUGAGCCACAGAGGAACUGAGAGACGGUCCAGGCUCCUACGGGAGGCAGCAGUGGGGAAUAGUGGACGAUGGGCGCAAGCCUGAUCCAGCCAUACCGCGUGGAUGAAGAAGGCCUUCGGGUUGUAAAGCCCUUUUGUUGGGAAAGAAAAGCAGCAGGUUAAUACCCCGCUGUGCUGACGGUACCCAAAGAAUAAGCACCGGCUAACUUCGU